GUCACUAUGUGUUCCUAAAUAAUGUGUUACAAGUUGAUUAUGAAAGAUUUGAUUAGCAAGAAAUACAUUUGAUUAGAUUAUCUGAUUGUGAAAGAACUUAAACAUGAUACAUUCUUGUGUAGCUGAUUUGCAGCAAAUAUAUAGCUAAAAGAUAUACAGGUGUACCAACUGAUAUCACUAUACUGCUUCAUGCAAAAGAGUUCUCUCUGUAUUAGAAAUGGAUUUGCAUGAGGCGAGUAGUAAUAAUAAGUAUAGUAAUAAUCAAAAAAAUUAAGCUGAUUGGGUAGUUAAGAAGGGAGAGAGGGGACAUGUAGGCUUCCCCUUGCACAGAGUUGAACCAAGAUCUAGGCUGCCAAAGUCACAUGUGCCAGGGGUGCAACUAUCAACCGGCACAUUGGUGCCAAUGUCUCAGUAUGUGCAGCAUUUCUGCUUGAAACAGAAAAUGAAGUUGUUAUGGUGGUAGGAUCAGCCCUUUCAGCGAGGGCCAAUUAUAAAAAGGACUGCUAUUGCUGUAUGUUACAUGGUAUAUGAAUGUAGAUACACUCAAAUUAAUUAGUGUCAGUACUUGUUCGUUAAACUUGGGGAUUACGCAUGGAAACAAAAAUUGGUCGUUUAAAAUUGUCAUACAUAUACCGUACUCUACUCCUAAUUGAAAUUCCCAUGUUAAUUAUUCACAAU